UUGCUCACUUUGGCAGCACAUCUACUAAAGUUGGAACAGUACAGAGAAGAUUAGCAUGGCCCCUGCGCAAGGAUGACAUGUGAGCUCAUGAAGCUUUCCAUAUUAAA
ensembl:snRNA U6 U6 spliceosomal RNA